AAGCGGCAACAGCUCAAAUUUGAAAUCUGGCUCUCGGGCCCGAGUUGUAAUUUGUAGAGGAUACUUUUGAUGCGGUGCCUUCCGAGUUCCCUGGAACGGGACGCCAUAGAGGGUGAGAGCCCCGUCUGGUUGGAUGCCAAAUCUCUGUAAAGUUCCUUCAACGAGUCGAGUAGUUUGGGAAUGCUGCUCUAAAUGGGAGGUAUAUGUCUUCUAAAGCUAAAUACCGGCCAGAGACCGAUAGCGCACAAGUAGAGUGAUCGAAAGAUGAAAAGCACUUUGAAAAGAGAGUUAAAAAGUACGUGAAAUUGUUGAAAGGGAAGCGUUUAUGACCAGACUUGGGCUUGGUUAAUCAUCUGGGGUUCUCCCCAGUGCACUUUUCCAGUCCAGGCCAGCAUCAGUUUUCCCCGGGGGAUAAAGGCGGCGGGAAUGUGGCUCUCUUCGGGGAGUGUUAUAGCCCACCGUGUAAUACCCUGGGGGGGACUGAGGUUCGCGCAUCUGCAAGGAUGCUGGCGUAAUGGUCAUCAACGACCCG
rnacentral:rRNA from 1 species